rnacentral:rRNA from 1 species
UUGAUCCUGGCUCAGAAUCAACGCUGGCGGCGUGCCUAACACAUGCAAGUCGAACGAGAAAGUGGAGCAAUCCAUGAGUAAAGUGGCGACCGGGUGAGUUACACGUGACUAACCUACCUUCAAGUGGGGGAUAACCUCGGGAAACCGGGUCUAAUACCGCAUAACAUCUUUGGGGCGGAAGAACCGGAGAUCAAAGGAGUAAUUCGCUGGAAGAGGGGGUCGCGGCUGAUUAGUUAGUUGGCGGGGUAAUGGCCCACCAAGACAGAGAUCGGUAGCCGGCCUGAGAGGGCGCACGGCCAUACUGGAACUGAAACACGGUCCAGACUCCUACGGGAGGCAGCAGUGGGGAUUUUUGCGCAAUGGGGGAAACCCUGACGCAGCAACGCCGCGUGGAGGAUGUAGCCCCUUGGGACGUAAACUCCUUUCGACCGGGACGAUAAUGACGGUACUGGUGGAAGAAGCCCCGGCUAACUUCGUGCCAGCAGCCGCU